AAUUAACGCUGGCAGAGUGCAUAACACAUGCAAGUCGAGCGGGACACCCUGAGAUUACAUCAACUGGGUGUCUAGCGGCAGACGAGUGAGUAACACGUAAGCAACCUGCCCUUGAAUGGCGAACAACGUGUCGAAAGACACGCUAAUACGCCGUAUAAUCCCGGAGGGGCAUCUCUCUGGGAUGAUAGGCCCGCAAGGGUCAUUCAAGGUGGGGCUGCGGCCCAUCAGCUAGUUGGCGGUGUAACGGACCACCAAGGCUAUGACGGGUACCCGGCCUGAAGGGCGGACGGGCACGAAGGCACUGAGACACGGGCCUUACUCCUACGGGAGGCAGCAGUGGGAAUUUUGGACAAUGGGGAAACCCUGAUCCAGCAACUCUGCGUGAGGGACGAAGCC
rnacentral:rRNA from 1 species